rnacentral:rRNA from 1 species
GACGAACGCUGGCGGCGUGCUUAACACAUGCAAGUCGAACGAUGAAGCCUAGCUUGCUAGGUGGAUUAGUGGCGAACGGGUGAGUAAUACGUGAGUGACCUACCUUUGACUCUGGGAUAAGCCUGGGAAACUGGGUCUAAUACCUGAUACGACCAAUCUCCGCAUGGGGUGUUGGUGGAAAGCGGUCUGGUGUGGUUUUAGAUGGGCUCACGGCCUAUCCGCUUGUUGGUGAGGUAAUGGCUUACCAAGGCGACGACGGGUAGCCGGCCUGAGAGGGUGACCGGCCACACUGGGACUGAGACACGGCCCAGACUCCUACGGGAGGCAGCAGUGGGGAAUAUUGCACAAUGGGCGCAAGCCUGAUGCAGCGACGCCGCGUGAGGGAUGACGGCCUUCGGGUUGUAAACCUCUGUUAGCAUCGAAGAAGCGAAAGUGACGGUAGGUGCAGAGAAAGCGCCGGCUAACUACGUG